rnacentral:rRNA from 1 species
GCUGAAGUCUGGUGCUUGCACUAGACNCAUGAGUUGCGAACGGGUGAGUAACGCGUAGGUAACCUGCCUCAUAGCGGGGGAUAACUAUUGGAAACGAUAGCUAAUACCGCAUAACAGUAUUUACCGCAUGGUAGAUACUUGAAAGGAGCAAUUGCUUCACUAUGAGAUGGACCUGCGUUGUAUUAGCUAGUUGGUGAGGUAACGGCUCACCAAGGCAUCGAUACAUAGCCGACCUGAGAGGGUGAUCGGCCACACUGGGACUGAGACACGGCCCAGACUCCUACGGGAGGCAGCAGUAGGGAAUCUUCGGCAAUGGGGGCAACCCUGACCGAGCAACGCCGCGUGAGUGAAGAAGGUUUUCGGAUCGUAAAGCUCUGUUGUAAGAGAAGAACUGUGAGAAGAGUGGAAAGUUUCUCACUUGACGGUAUCUUACCAGAAAGGGACGGCUAACUACGUGCCAGCAGCCGCGGUAAUACGUAGGUCCCGAGCGUUGUCCGGAUUUAUUGGGCGUAAAGCGAGCGCAGGCGGUUUGAUAAGUCUGAAGUAAAAGGCUGUGGCUUAACCAUAGUACGCUUUGGAAACUGUCAAACUUGAGUGCAGAAGGGGAGAGUGGAAUUCCAUGUGUAGCGGUGAAAUGCGUAGAUAUAUGGAGGAACACCGGUGGCGAAAGCGGCUCUCUGGUCUGUAACUGACGCUGAGGCUCGAAAGCGUGGGGAGCGAACAGGAUUAGAUACCCUGGUAGUCCACGCC